rnacentral:rRNA from 1 species
UACCAGCACCCCGAGUGGUCGGGACGUUUUAUUGGGCCUAAAGCAUCCGUAGCCGGUUCUACAAGUCUUCCGUUAAAUCCAUCUGCUUAACAGAUGGGCUGCGGAAGAUACUAUAGAGCUAGGAGGCGGGAGAGGCAAGCGGUACUCGAUGGGUAGGGUAAAAUCCGUUGAUCCAUUGAAGACCACCAGUGGCGAAGGCGGCUUGCCAGAACGCGCUCGACGGUGAGGGAUGAAAGCUGGGGGAGCAAACCGG